rnacentral:misc_RNA from 1 species
UAGCAUACAACGAAUCGGGGAGAGAAGCGAGAAGCAGCAAUUCUGUUAUUAGAAAAAAAUAUCACAGAAACUUUAAUCAUAAUGGAGACACAUUUUCUUACAGUGAGAGGAAACGGAGUUGAGCGUGCAUCGUCAUUCAGUAUGGAGAAGCCGAACAUUUUGCAAAUUCCCAUAGAAGCCAGACGAAGAAACAGUGUUCCAAACUCCGCUUUCAAUUCCAACUUCACAGAAUGUCCUAUGGAGCGCGUCAGGUCCUUUAGCAUCACCCCCAAAGGUUUGCGAAACCGUGGGGACAAAAUCAGAAGAAAGAGCACUCUAAGCAUUGAAACCAAUUCCAGCUACCAGAGUAACUCCAGCCUCCAGGAGAGCGAACCGCGCCACAGUGGCUGCAAUAAUUCCAACGACAGUCUUCAUUCUCUGGAAAGGUUCACAGUGGCCGUAGUGGGGUCAGGGGGUGUGGGAAUGAGGACCCUCAAAAGACAAUUCACGACUUCAGAAGAACUGUGCAUCAAUAAUUGUGGUAAGCAUUCAUGUGUUCUCUCUUAUCUUCAAUUAAAAGAAAAUGUUUAUUGGAUUGUGAAGAAAAAUUGAAGUAAUUAUCUGAUAAAAGUUUAAUUAGUUGUACUGUUCACGGCAUUUCGGGAAUUUCUUUUAAAUAGAUGCACUAGAUAAUGAUGACGAGGAGGUCUGCGUGUGUUUGGAUGGCGAGGAAUGCCUGCUGUCUUUUGUGAAAGAGGAAGAUUUUAUGGUAAGCAUAUAAUUGUACAUUUUAUUUAAACUUUUCAAACUUUCUUUACAUGCAUGGUUAUAUCACUGUUAAUAUUUGGUCCGUGGGAACAUAUUGUAAAACGCAUAAAAAUAAGGCAACCCCCUGCUGAUAUCGUGACAUUUCGUUAUCGAACUUUCUGCGAGUAUCGGGACUUUAAUUUUCCCAGGAUUUUUUUUCAUUUGCAAUUUCAUUCGAUAGUAUCUCUUGCGUCACAAUUUUUGAGUCAUGUCUCUGACUCAGUCGCCAUAUGUUACUCAGUGAUGGCGAAAUAUGAGCAACAAGCGAAUCAGUAUGAAUGAAUUGUCGUCACAAAUCGAUUCCACAGCGGAUCAAUAUUCAUUAAUAAUUGAUUAAUUAAUAUUGUCUCCAGUCAUCGCUGUGUCUUCAGGAGAGGGUGGCAUUAUCGUCUGCAACUUUUUUUCUUGUUAUGAUUAAAACUCUCGCACAUUAGGACAACAAAAAGCAGAUUGAUUAAAUGGUUUUUCGCUCAUAGUAAACGAGGUUUUAAAGGUCAACACAUUGUUCAAGACUCUUCUCUUUUAAUCGAUCGUUCAUAUUGUGCGGAUGCUGUUAAACCACUAUUGUCGUCUGAUAAUUGACAAAGUUCAAAGACAUUAAAUUGAUGUUUUUCAUUCUCUAACAGCUUCAAGGACCACGCUCAGCAGUUGACACAGUUCUGGUCGUCUUCUCGGUCAUCGACACAGCCUCCUACAAAAACGCUUCCAAGAAACUCCAGGUCAUUCGGCAAGACCUUCAGUACGAUAACCCAAUAUUCCUAGUGGCCAACAAAGUGGACCUUGCCCGAACAAGAGUCGUUUCAGAAAAAGGUAGGCAAGGGGCACUUUCUUUCGAAAUAAUAAAGCAAUCGAUGUUUCUUGAUUAUUAUUUACCAGUCUUUUGUGAGUUAUGAUUGAUUGAACACAGAUUUUCGAUGAAAAAAUUGAAUUUUUGUUUUAAUUGUUACAGAGGCCAGAAAGCUUGCAGACAAAUACAAGUGUAAAUACGUGGAGACAUCGGUGGUUCUGAACCACAACAUCGAUGAGUUACUGGUCGGGAUCGUGCGUCAGGCUCGGUACCAGCAGGGCGGGUUCGUCAUGUCCGGCUCCACCGAAAGCAUUCCCAAGAACCGAAACAAGGUGGCCAGGUUCACCAACAUUCUCAUCGACAAAAUCAUGAACAUUGGCCACAAGGAAAUUCCCUGCACAAACCUCUUUGAUGUUUGAACUUAUUAAAAGGAGAACUCUUCUCUUUUAUCUUGUGUGGACUGCCAAGGUCUACAAAAACAAAAUGACUUUGCUCAAGAAUUCGUAAAUCGAAAGACAGUUCUUGUGAUGGUCACGUUUGAUUUGGUGCCGUGAGAGGGUUCUAUUUCAGAGAUCCUCCCCCAAAUCACCGACCGAGCCAAAGAUGAAUGGUGCUACAGACCAAUGAUGUGCCUCUCUACAAUAGAAAGGUGUAUUCGAUAUCGAAUCGUGAUAUUGGACAUAAAUUAAUUCUGUGAUAUUCAACGAUGUAUUAUAUUUUCAUACAAUUUCUUGAAUAAAAUUCAAAU